GUGGCUAUAUAGUUAGCGAGCGCACUGGGCAUACAGAUCUCACAGAUGCUGUCGGCACUCACUGCUGACAGUGUACCAAUGUUAGACAUGGCUGUGUAUAUACACAGCCGAGCUAGUGAAGGUGAGCAGUUCACUGCCAAAAGACAGUCUUUUUUUUUUUUUUUAUCCCAAAUCAAUAAA